ACCGCGGCGCUAGCUCAGUGGGUAAAGCGCCAGGUAAGAAGAUUACUCCGAAUUAUCCGCGCGGGUUCGAAUCCCGCCUGUGGCA